UCCCUGGUGGUCUAGUGGUUAAGACUCCAUGCUUCCACUGUGUGGGGCACAGGUUCAAUCCCUGCUCGGGGCA
rnacentral:tRNA from 1 species